UCCCUGAAUCUAGAGGACAACUUAAAUGUCAAGUUUGUUAAAUUUAUUUUGCAGGCAGGGACUUGCGGAGUGACAUGAUCAUGUUCCAAUCCCAGGAGGCAUGAGAAGGAGAAACCCAUGGGAUAUGCUGAGACCCAGAGAGAAUAUCAGAUGUUUGAUGGUUCACAAGCAGGUGUUAACAGGGAGCUGUGCAAACUGUAAGUAGCUGUUUCACUGGACCUACUUUUGGGAGUAAAUUGAAGGUGAUCUCAGCUGAGGGUAAGCAAAGUGAGAUUUGUGACCAUGCACCCAGCAGGCAUCAAGAGCAGAGUCUGAACCUUGAACCUCAAUAUUGAAUUUUGCCACAUCAGCUUAAAAGGCUAUUCUAUCAUGUUAGGUAUAAUAGAAGAAUUUGAGUGUUGCUGAACCGAUGGUCCAGGAAAUAUGCAAGAAGUAAGGUGAAGGGAAGCAGGGGGGAGUUGUUGAUAUCUUUUAUGGGCUUCUAGAUCCCGCGCCAGUAUCUGCUGCUGCUUAUUCAGUGAUGUAGGCCCAUCCUUUCUGAAUAUUCACAUUCUGUCGUUAUUCUGACAUGCUGCCAUUUCCCCCCUGAGGAAUGCAAGCAAGAAAAGGAUAACGGUGGCUUUCUAUCUACUGCAAAAAGACCUUAAAGACAAAAAGGUCACAGAGAACCCUCUCUUCUGAAAAUGUGUAAGUGUAGGUGAAUGGGGCAUGAAGGACUGCUAGGGGUUGGGGAAGAGAGAAGAUGUAUAAAUUAAGAUGUGCAGGCCUUUAACAACCCAUGCUGAAACUAUAAGAGGGUCAUAGUGGGGCUUAACUUAAAAAACAGGAAACGCUGGCUGGAGCAAUAUGCUUUCCUUCCCAUGAACUGUAUUAUUUGCAAAAUAUGCAGAUGAUUUUUACAGAAUUUUCAAUAGGAACAUGUUGGUGUUUAUUGCCCAGAAUAUUUCAUUUGUGAGGUAAAUUCUCUCUACCUUGCUUAGGAUUUCAACAUUUGUAAGUCGCUGCUCACUCCAGGAGUAUCUUUAAUGGCUCAUAUUAAUUCAAGGUGUCCCUUUAUGCACUUAAAAAAACCCCUUCCUUUUAAUGACAUUUCCAUUUAUUCAGAAUUAUUAUUUAAAAUCCUAAAUUAGCAUUCUGCGCUUGGAUUCUGACAGAGCCAUUACAUUUUAUACUGAAAGGGUUUAGUUAAUUUAAAAUUAUUAAACCCCAUUGGCUGCAUGAUGGGAGCAUCUUUAAGCAAAUUUCUAUAUUUCAGGUGUAUGCUAACAGCAUACAAGUGCAAACUGGAUUAGGAUCCGUUUGCCUUUGUUGCUUACAUUCUUAUAUAUGGCAAAGUUGUUAUUCUAGGUUUCACCUGCUGUCCUGAAGUAGCUAAAACUAAAUAACAGAUGAACAUGCUAGCAGCAAUAUAAAUAACAACCUGUCCUCUGUCUGUCCCAAGGUGCACUGAUGAUGUUGCUUUUCAAACUAAAGCCAGUGAAACUGACAUAAGUAAUUAUGAGUAUUCUUCUGCUUUUUUUUAGAUCAAGCUGCAAUAAAAGAAAGAAUAUGAAAACUCAUGUCGCAAAUUGUAUGCUGUCAACUAUUUCUGUUUAUUUUGAAUUUAAAAAAAUGCAACUACGUCAUUCAGAAGAAUUAUUUCACUUUGUUCAAACAACAAAACCUCAAAUAUAUUACACAAGAGAGGAUAUGAAACAAGGAAACAUCACUAUGGUGAGAGUUGAGUAAUUUCUAUUUAGAAAGAUUUACCUGUGUGUCUUUUACAUAAACACUAGUUGAACGACUAGGAAAAGUUGGGUCAUCUACUGGCAUCUGUUUCUUUGCAUGAGCUAUCCCAAGAGAAUAAUACUUAUUGAGCUAACAUGAGUUACAUGAUGGACCAUAAUCCAGAGUUUUCAAAUUGUCUUGGCAGCUGUUCACUUGUUGAAUAGCUCUGUGACUUUCUAAGGAAUUCUUUGCUCGAUCCUGUCAAGGCAAAGAAAGAGUCUUGAUAUAUACAAAAUGCUAUCUAUGCUUUUGUCUUGAAUAAUCUCUCUUCACAACAUGCUCAUCUAUGAAGCCUGACUUUACUGUUGAGAAGAGACUGCCAGAAUUCUUUUAGCCUUAGGAUUUUUUUUCUCUGCUGUUGCUGUAAUGGACUUUCUUUAGGUCAGCUCCAUGGUAUUCCUAGAUUUGCUUAUACUCAAUACGUUCCCCUUGUUUGUGUUGUUUUUUGUUGGCCUGAAUAAUGGCUUCCCUGGGAAAAGCAGGCGUUGUGUGCUUGAAGAUGUCGGUUCCAAGGGACAGGGACCUGGGAAACAGCACCCCCAAAAGGAAUGAAAUAACUUACUCAUAACUCUGCAGCAAGGGAAGAAAAGAGUAAAGCUGUGAUUUUUAUCAGCCCUGUCUGCAGUCUUGAGUAUAAAGCUUUAUUUUAGACCGUAGGGCCCCACUUCUACGUUGAGAUCUGCAUCGAUAGAGGAAUCUGCCCACAUACGAUUCACUGCAGGCUAUACAGUUGCAACCUGACAGAACUUGAAAUUUAAAUUUAUCAUGAUACCUGUAGACAUAUAGGAGGUAGUAGGCAAAACAGAUCAAAGUAGGAAGACAAAAUAUCUAGAAUAUAGUUUUAGAAGUGAUGAAAUACCUCAUGCUUGUUUCUAGAUGUGUUUUGGGGUUUUGUUUUAUUAAUGCAGGUCAUUGUUUGGUGGUGUAAC